GUCUUUUAGAAUUAAAUUAAAAGUCUAACCUGCCCAUUGAAUUAUUUAAAAGGCUGCGGUAUUUUGACCGUACAAAGGUAGCAUAAUCAUUAGUUUUUUAAUUGGAAACUUGUAUGAAUGGUUGAAUGAGAUAUUAACUGUUUUAAUAAAAAUAUAGAAUUUUACUUUUUAAUUAAAAGGUUAAAAUAAAAUUAAAAGACGAGAAGACCCUAUAGAUUUUUAUAUUUUUAAUAUUAAAAAAUUAAAGUUUAUUAUUUUUUUAAUAAAAUUAAAUAUUUUAUUGGGGUGAUAGUAAAAUUUAAAAAACUUUUAUUUAAAAUUUAACAUUAAUUUAUGAUUAAUUGAUCCAAAUAUUUUGAUUAUAAGAUUAAAUUACCUUAGGGAUAACAGCGUAAUUUUUUUUUAAGUUCUUAUUAAUAAAAAAGUUUGCGACCUCGAUGUUGGAUUAAGAUUAAUUUUAGGUGCAGAAGUUUAAAAUUUAAGUCUGUUCGACUUUUAAAUUCUU
rnacentral:rRNA from 1 species